rnacentral:rRNA from 1 species
UACGAGUGCCCCAAGCGUUAUCCGGAAUCAUUGGGCGUAAAGGGUGUGUAGGCGGUUGUGUUAGUCUUUUGUUAAAGCUCUCGGCUUAACCGGGAAGAUGCAUUUGAUACGGCACAACUAGAGGAUGCGAGAGGUGAACGGAACUCAUAGUGUAGGGGUGAAAUCCGUUGAUAUUAUGGGGAACACCAAAUGCGAAGGCAGUUCACUGGCGCAUUCCUGACGCUGAAACACGAAAGCGUGGGUAGCGAAUGGG